CGUCUGCAGGAAAGAGAGAACGGGAGUGGAGCAGCCGCCACCGGGGAGGGAAGAGGUGGCAAAGUGCUCCGUGGCUGGGGUGUGUUUCUUGGCAGAGUGGAGCGGAUGAAAGGCCCAUCUGCCGACAAGACCACUGCUACCCUCCACCACCCUCCCUCCAGCACCCUCCACCACCCUCCCUCCGCCACCCUCCACCACCCUCCACCACUCCCUCACCACCCUCCGCCAGGGCACCAGAAUGCCAGGCCUCACUCAUGAUCAGCUGAGCACCAGCAGGCAGGUGAGAAGAGCCUUGAGUGUGGAGCAGGUCAACCAGCAACAGAGCCAGGGAGACCCACGGAGUCCACAGAGAAUGGUAACAAUGGCAGCAGCACCCAGAGACUGGCUCCCAGUGAGCUAAGCCCAGCCGCGACCCUUGGAUGUGCCAGCUGAUUUAAUACUCAUGAUAAACCCAGUAGACAGAUGUGCAUAUGUCACUUUGAAAAAGCAAAAUGGAUGUGGCUGAUGCCAAAGUGACCUGCUCCAGAAGAGCUGCUAACAGAACAGCAUCCCAGAAGGCCACAGAAGGGCUGAAGAGCAGAGCCCACACCUGCUAUGGUCAC
rnacentral:antisense_RNA from 1 species